CAUAGCAAAAAGUAUUUCGAUGGCUGUAUAUCUUGUACACUUACUUUGAACAAGAUAAGAUAAUUUAAACAUAAUGAUAAGUGUGUAUUUCUGAAGGUAACAUCUGUUUCUGAAAGUGUUGGUCUGUUUUGGAAAAUUUCGAAGUGAUUUGACAAUAUGAGAAUUUGGCAUGUCAUGUUUUAAUUCUACCACAAAUGAAAAAUGAAAUUCAAAGAUAAGAGCCGUCAGCUAGGAGUCUUGUUUCUAAUAACUUUUUUAUGUCUUCUUGUGAAUGUUUUUAGCUCUCAGAUGUGUUAUUUCUGUUUAUCAAAAUGUGAUUCGCCGAUUGAGAUAGAAAAAUGUAAUACAAGAUAUGGCAAACAAGCCGACACAAAAUGCAUUGCAGCUGAAACGACAAUUUCUGGUGGUUUGUUGGUGAGGAAACAAUGUAUUCUGACAAAUCAAUCUCAGCAAUUUUGUGACAAGUUUGCAGACUUAGAAGAUGUUAAUUGCUAUAUUUGUGAUGAAGACUUGUGCAACUCUUCAAAGGAGACGUCAUCGUCAGUUGUCAUGAUUUUAACAAUUGUUAUUGCUUUUGUUCUAAAUAAAUAAAAUAUAAAAAUGGA